AUCACUAUUUUACAGUAUCCAUGUAAGCUGUUGUUUUGUGAUAUAACUGCUUGUAUUGUCUAUGAUGGUCCAUGAGAUUUGUUUGCUUGUCUCAGCUUUAUUCUAUCUUUUUCUUGCUCUCUUGGUUGGUAACGUGGUUGUGUGAAGGUUUGAACCUUGGACAAUUUCAUGGUGCAUUGGGCCUCAAUCACCAUGGUAGUGUGAAGUGAUAGGCAUAUCUUAUGAUACUAUUUUGUUAAGAUCCAUUCAAUUGAUGGAAGUUGUUGAAUAUUGUUCAUGAAUUUUCUUGUAGAAGUAGUAAG
rnacentral:misc_RNA from 1 species